ensembl:lncRNA
AAGGCUUUGAGACAAUAAGAUAUUAAACAGGAGUUUCUUGUAUUUCUUUCCAUUUCUUGGGAAGAAAUUGAAAUAUCAAAGCUCUUUCUUGAAAAGAAAUGGAAAGGCGGCAGAGUGAGGAACUGGCGGCAUGUUGGGAAGAGAAAGAGAGAAAGUUCUGAGCCACGAGCUCCUAAACACCAAUAUCGAGUUGGAUGGGCUGAGGAAAUAUCUCAAACAGCUGGAAGGAAGGGAGCAGAGGAGGCAUGGAGAGGAGCUGUCACAACAGCGGCAGGCGGGGAUGCACCAACACCGAGGAGAUCCUUCCAGCAGGAGGACAAAGAGGGGGAAGAGCUGGGCCUCUGGCAGCAGCUCCAGCGGGACAGGAGGAGCUGAGGGGGAGGAGCCGGGAGGAGAAGGAGGAGCCGGGAGGAGGAGGAGGAGCCGGGAGGAGGAGGAGGAGACGCGGCGUGAGCUGGAGCACUCCCGACGCGAGGAGGCGCUGGAGCUCAGCUGCGUCAAGGCAUACCUCCGGCUGCUGACUGACGAGAACGCAGCACUGCAGGAGGAGCAGGGGGCGCUCCUGAGGAGGAGGGAGUGCCCAGAGCGAGGCCAUCUGACCGCCGCGCUAACCCAGGCGUGAGAUGAGCUCCUGCAGGGCCGGCGGCACACCCCUGCCCCCCGCCUGCUCCCCUCGAGACCCUGGCACACCCCGGAGAGGCCGGGGUCUCUGGCCCUCACGCAACUAUCGCAGUCAUGUGAUGUCACUGAAGGGCAUCUGUGGUCCUUGCUGCCAGUGGGACAAUGGCCGCGUGUGACACUUCCUCCCCCCGUGACCUUCGUGUUUUCCUCUUUCCCUGGCUUUGAAGAGACCACUUCACCAUUGCAGAAGGACCAACAUUUACACACACACACACACACACACACACACACACACACACACCGCACUCUGUCCUGAAAUCUCUUCUUUACCUCUGUGUUUAUUUAUGGUUAUCGAUAAAGUGAUGGAAACUCAUUAAAUCGUUGUUUUGAUUACACGCACAUACUUUUAUAUCUAUG